ensembl:processed_transcript Gm9967 predicted gene 9967
GGGCGUGAUUGCACCUCUGCUGCUCUGCUAUCUCGGGUGCUCAGAGACAAGGAUCCUAACCCGGCAUGGGGCUAAUAAGAGCGUGUUAUCUGUAUGCAAACCCCUGGGAAAUAGUCGUAAUUGUCUUCGUUUAUCCACAGACCACUGUCUCAUAAUCCUGUAGUUUCUCCAUUUGACCAGUUUCCUGAGGCUUGGAGAAGAGAUCCUCUCCAGAGAUUAUCCAGAUGGGUCUCAUGUAACCAAGUUGGCCUCAGACUCUUGGACCUUGGACUUCUGUCCUGUUUCCAUCUCUGGUGCUCAGGUUUCGGAACUCACCAUCUUCCUACCUCUGUUUCCCAAGUUGUAUGGGCUGCUGCACCUGGCUGACAUGGUAUCUCAGUUUGUGUUUCUAUUGCUGUGAAGAGACACCAUGGCCGAGGCAACAUA